AUUGAACGCUGCGGCAUGCCUUACCCCUGCCAGUCGAACGGCAGCACGGGUGCUUGCACCUGGUGGCGAGUGGCGAACGGGUGAGUAAUACAUCGGAACAUGUCCUGUAGUGGGGGAUAGCCCGGCGAAAGCCGGAUUAAUACCGCAUACGAUCUACGGAUGAAAGCGGGGGACCUUCGGGCCUCGCGCUAUAGGGUUGGCCGAUGGCUGAUUAGCUAGUUGGUGGGGUAAAGGCCUACCAAGGCGACGAUCAGUAGCUGGUCUGAGAGGACGACCAGCCACACUGGGACUGAGACACGGCCCAGACUCCUACGGGAGGCAGCAGUGGGGAAUUUUGGACAAUGGGCGAAAGCCUGAUCCAGCAAUGCCGCGUGUGUGAAGAAGGCCUUCGGGUUGUAAAGCACUUUUGUCCGGAAAGAAAUCCUUGGCCCUAAUACGGUCGGGGGAUGACGGUACCGGAAGAAUAAGCACCGGCUAACUACGUG
rnacentral:rRNA from 1 species